rnacentral:rRNA from 1 species
CAAUAGCGUAUAUUUAAGUUGUUGCAGUUAAAAAGCUCGUAGUUGGAUUUCGGGUGGGACGCAGCGGUCUCGCAUUGCGUUUGUACUGCUGCAGCCCUCCUUCUUGCCGGGGGCGGCCUCUCGGACUUCACUGUCUGGGGGUCAGAAUCGGCGAUGUUACUUUGAGUAAAUUAGAGUGUUCAAAGCAAGCUUACGCUCUGAAUAUAAUAGCAUGGGAUAAAACGACAGGACUCUGGCCUAUCGUGUUGGUCUAUAGGACCAGAGUAAUGAUUAAGAGGGACAGUCGGGGGCAUUCGUAUUCCGUUGUCAGAGGUGAAAUUCUUGGAUUUACGGAAGACGAACAUCUGCGAAAGCAUUUGCCAAGGAUGUUUNCAUUGA